rnacentral:rRNA from 1 species
GACGAGCCACACGAACGUUAUUCGGAAUUACUGGGCUUAAAGGGUGCGUAGGCGGUGCGGAAAGUUGGGUGUGAAAUCCCUCGGCUCAACCGAGGAACUGCGCCCAAAACUACCGUACUUGAGGAAGAUAGAGGUGAGCGGAACUUACGGUGGAGCGGUGAAAUGCGUUGAUAUCGUUUGGAACGCCAAUGGUGAAAACAGCUAGCUGGGGAUGUGCCGACGCUGAGACACGAAAGCCAGGGGAGCGAACGGG